GUCUAUAUGAAGUUAUAUAAAGUCUAACCUGCCCAUUGAAUAAUUUAAAAGGCCGCAGUAUAUUACCUGUGCAAAGGUAGCAUAAUCAUUAGUUUUUUAAUUGAAGGCUUGUAUGAAGGGUUGGACAAAGAAUAAUCUGUUUCUAUUUUUUUAUUUGAAUUUAACUUUUAAGUGAAAAGGCUUAAAUAAAUUUGAGGGACGAUAAGNCCCUAUAAAUCUUAAUAUUAAAUUAUUUUUAAUUAAUUAAUAUUGUAAAUAUAAUAAUAAAAUAUUAAAUAUUAUGUUGGGGUGAUAAGAAUAUAAAAAAUAACUGUUCUAAAUUUAAAACAAAAUUAUUUGAAAAUAAUAGAUCCUUUUUUAAAGAUUAAAAGUUCAAGUUACUUUAGGGAUAACAGCGUUAUUUUUUUUGAGAGUUCUUAUNGAAAAAAAAGUUUGCGGCCUCGA
rnacentral:rRNA from 1 species